rnacentral:rRNA from 1 species
UAGGGAAUCUUCGGCAAUGGACGAAAGUCUGACCGAGCAACGCCGCGUGAGUGAAGAAGGUUUUCGGAUCGUAAAACUCUGUUGGUAGAGAAGAACGUUGGUGAGAGUGGAAAGCUCAUCAAGUGACGGUAACUACCCAGAAAGGGACGGCUAACUACGUGCCAGCAGCCGCGGUAAUACGUAGGUCCCGAGCGUUGUCCGGAUUUAUUGGGCGUAAAGCGAGCGCAGGUGGUUUAUUAAGUCUGGUGUAAAAGGCAGUGGCUCAACCAUUGUAUGCAUUGGAAACUGGUAGACUUGAGUGCAGGAGAGGAGAGUGGAAUUCCAUGUGUAGCGGUGAAAUGCGUAGAUAUAUGGAGGAACACCGGUGGCGAAAGCGGCUCUCUGGCCUGUAACUGACACUGAGGCUCGAAAGCGUGGGGAGCAAACAGGAUUAGAUAGCCCUGGUAGUCCACGCGUAAACGAUGAGU